rnacentral:lncRNA from 1 species
AAAAAAUAAAGUUAAAUGGAAGAAAAAAAACAUAUUGAAAUAUAAUAUUAAAAAAUAAAGAAAAGGUUCCCAGCGUGAGUUGAAAAGAGGUGUUUGUGAAAUAAAUUGUCGAGAAGUAGUUUUUUAAAGUAACAUUCAACAGCUUCUGGUCAAAGCUCAUUCCAUUCAAUUUUAUGCGUUCAAAAAAUGUUCUUUUUUUAGUAAGUACUUAAUUGAUAUUGUGUUUGGCCUAACUUCUCCUUAAAAAUGUAGAGAAGUUUGAAAAAAGUCGGGUCAAACGAUACCUUAAUCUCCCACAACGGCAAUGUAGAAGCAACUGAAUUUGGG